rnacentral:lncRNA from 1 species
UAAUUCAGAGUUGUGGCUUGGGCAAUGCCAAGAACCACAUCUGCACUGAAAUCAAUUAUCUGUUGGGCUACCGAUGUGCAGAACAAGCUCCCAAUCAGCCACGUGACCGCAAAGAUGACUUCCACUAACAUAGAUGGAGGAUGUGUAGCUCAUUUCAGUGGGACAUCCAGAGUCCUGUCUACAGUGGUUGGAGUUCUGGCUUAAAUUCAAGCAGCUGAAAACACAAGAAAUAAGAAGACCGUUUGAGAAGAGCAGAUAGUUGCCUUAAGAAAAUUCCUGUCAUAUGCACUCUGGGAUUUGGACUCAAAUCCUAAUUAUACAGGAAAUAGUUGUACCGUGGACUAAGCAACACUGUUGCUUCAUGUAGAAUUUUGAGAGACUGCCUCAAGGAACUUGAGCCAUCCAGGAUCUUGCCAUCGGACAAGAUAUCAAUUUCCUUUGAAGGUACUUCUGGUCCGGCAAGUGCUAACUGAAUCACCUUGGUACUUGACAUCGAUGACUGUCAGCAUAAUAAAUGUCUGGUAAGAGUUUAUCUGGUUCAGUUCUUCUGGACUGGAGUGGAACCAUCUUCCAACUCCAUUGUUUGAAUCUCUGGCACCCCAGAGAUGAAGAACAGGGAAUUCUAUACUGUACUCUCAGAGCUUCUGUCUACAGACCAUUUAUGAUUUCACACCCACAAGAUGAUGAUUUCAGGAUGCAGUUUCAUGUGUAAGCCUGCCCCACCUGCACAGCUGAAUUGUAUUCUGUGUAUUCUGUGUGUGGAUGUUCCAAGUUGUAUACGGUAGAGUUGUCUCUGAGACAUAAAGACCAAUGUUCAAGGACCAGAGAGAGUCUUCAGGAACUAAGGGUAGUCUCCAGAUGACAUCCAGCAAGGAACUGGUUUCUGCCAACAACCUGAGUGAGCUUGGUAGGAGAGUCUCCCCUAGGGCCUCUAUACAACCUGACCUGCCAACACCUUGGUUUUGGUCCUGGGAGGCUCUCAGCAGAGAACCAGCUCAGUAACACUGUGCUGGGAUGUCUGGGCCUUUCCUAAGUGGAAGAUUCUUAAUUUGUGCUGAUGAAAGCCACCCAUUUUGUGGUGUUUGGCUCAUAUUGCUGUCUGAAGGCUUUCUUUGUCUUCUCCUGCCCCCUUCAUUUUCACAGGCAUCACCUCCACCUCUUGCAAUUAAGAAAAAAAAUACUUGAGAGAAGUAAGGUUGCAUGAUGAGAGUGCCUUGAUUUCUUAAGAAGCAACACUUUCACAUCAUAAGGGUGCCUGCCCCAGUGUCCUGUUAGAUAGUGAACUGGAGUCUCUAUACUGCCUGUGUGCAGUGAGGAAGAAAUGAGACGUCUUCCUGUUGUGUUUCAGGAAACAAACAGAACACCUUUGUUGUAAGAAAGAAGUUGGAAGAGACCAUUAAUUAUUUAAUUAUUUUUCUUAUCAUCUUCCAUUGCUUUAUUAUCCUUAUCUUUCAAUUCAUAUUUUAUGUGUUUUUUUGAAGUAUAGUUGAUGCACAUGACUAUAAUAAUUAAACAUGUAAAAUAUAAGGAUUCACAUUUUAAGUUACAUUCUGUUUAUACUUAUAAAAUAUCAGAUAUAUUCCUUGUUGUCACAAAAUAUAUGCUUGUCCCUUAUUUUAUACAUAAUAGUUUGUGGCUCUUAAUCUCUCUCCCUGUAUUACCUCUCCCCCUUCCCUCUCCCCACUGGUAGCCACUAGUUUUAUCUGUAUAUCUGUGAUUCUGUUUCUUGUUAUAUUCAUUAGUUUGUUGUAGAUUUUUUUAGAUUCCACAUAGAAGUGAUAUCAUACAGUAUUUUUCUUUCUCUGUCUGACUUAUUUUAUGUAGCAUAAUAUCCCUUGUGUCCAUCCAUGUUGUGCAAUGUUAUCCAUUCACCUAUGGAUGGACACUUAGGUUGCUUUGAUAUCUUGGCUAUUGUAAAUAAAGCUGCUGUGAACCCUAGAUUGCAUGUAUCUUUUCAAGUUGUUGUUUUUGGUGUAUUUUGGAUGCAUACCCAUCAGUAGAAUUGCUGGUCUUUUGGUAGUUCUAGUUUUAGUUUUUGUAGAAACCUCAGAAAUGAUCUCCAGGGUGGCUGUAUCAGUUUCCAUCCAGAUCAAUGCUGUACAAGAGUCCCCUUUUCUCCACAUCCUUGCCAGCAUUUGCUAUUUGUGUUCUUUUUGAUGAGAGCCAUUCUGACAGGUAUGAGUUUGUUUCUCAUUGUGGUUUUGAUUUGCAUUUCCCUAGAGACUAGUGAUGUUGAGCCUUUUUUCAUGUGCUUGUUUGGCCAUUUGCAUGUCCUCUUUGGAAAAAUGUCUGUUCAGGUCUAAAAAUAUGGAACGCUUCAUGAAUUUGUGUGCCAUUCUUGUGCAGGGGCCAUGCUAAUCUUCUCUGUAUCAUUCCAAUUUUAGUAUAUGGCUGCCAAAGUGAGCACCCAGUUUAUAUUUUAAAUUUAUAAAUUAAUAGUGUGGUAUCAGAGUGUUCUAAAAGGCUUCUUAAUAAAAUGUACCAUAGAAGAGCCUUAACACACCAUAAUCCCACUGUUCCCAUUUUACAGAUAGGGAAAUACAGGCCUAUAGGCCUGAAAUACUUCCCAGAAAGUCAUAGGACUUGGUAAUUAGUGGCAGAGCCAGAAAUGCAUGAGAGGAGUGAGCAAAUGAAAACUAAUUUUACUCUAUAUUUACUCUUUAAAAAGUAGUUAUUAACUUUUAAAAAUAUAUGUAACAUAAUAUUAUUUUUAAAUUUUUUUAAAUAAAUAUUGGGUAUCAGUUAAACAUUUGAUCUACGAAUGCUAAAACAUAGCCUGUCUUCUUAACUUUACCUCCAAAAAGGUGACUUUAUUAUGGGCAAGGAAUAUAAAAUGAAGUUAAAGAUGACAUUAGAGCCAAGAGAGCAUUUAAAGCUGAAGGGAAACUGGUCAUGAUUUAACUUGAAGAUAGUAAAGUAUAGGCACAGAAAUUGAGUAAUCAGAUGUACCCACCUUCAAGGAAGUAAACAAAUUUUGUAAUAAAAGAGUAUUUCCUCUACUAGUGAAUAUAAAACAAUUUGUAACCUACUUUAUGUUACUAUAAUAGGAGCAUCUAAUGAUAGUUCCAUUUCAUUUUCAUACUCUCUUUUAUCUCAAAACCUCCCCAGGAUACCUAGAAAUAUUAAUUUAUUAAGUCAUUCAAAAUUACAUUCAAUCAGAUAAGGAUAGACAAGAUCACCUCACUCUACUCACAUUUUUAAUGGGCUCAUCCCACUAAAUUGAGACUCACUAAUCUACUCUCCACAUUUCACAACCAUAUCGAGAUUUUUUUUUUAAUUAUUUUUGGCAAUGCCCAUGAUAUGCAAAAGUUCCUGGGCCAAGACUCUAGCCCAAGCUACAGCAGUGACAAUGACAGAUCCUUAACCACUAGGCUACCAGGAAACUCCUGAUGUCUAUAUUUUAGAAAGCUCUUCAGUUAUGUAGAGAGGUCCUUUAUAAAAUUAGAUAAAAAGAAUCACAAUGUUUGUAUCUAUUUCACAUGGAAUGUAAGCAUGAUUUGAUCAGAAGCCUUUUUUUUUUUUUUCUUAGCAAGCAUACAGCUAUAGCCAUUGCAGAAUUAUCUCUAUUUCUGGCUUUCUCUCUGUGUCUUCAAGCUGAUGCCACUGUUUCACUGUUUCAUACAGAAAGCUCAUCUCCAAUCACUGUAUCUGUGCUAGUUAGAGCCAGGGGUUACCAACUCUCAGUGGGACAUAUUCGUACUGGAAUUAUUAAUAAUGUCCACCUCCUUCCUAACCUUUCUCAUUUCUGAUAUACAAUACUCAUCUUUCUGAGCAAGUGAGUUAACCCAGUACAGACAGUUUUAUCAUCUAGUUCUGGUGAUGUUCAUUUUUGGUUUUGUUGCUUAGGUUUACAAAGACAAUGAAAGCAGUUUUAAAGAGCAUGGAUAUAAUAUCAAUGGCACAUUUAUCUCAGCUACACAAUGGUCUGGAUUUAACAAUGACUGUAAACGUUUCAAGGGUUUGGGGCUGGCUGACAUGCUGAUGUUACACUUUGGUAGCUAGUUUUCUGAGUAAUAUGCCCUUAGGCAAGAAGUGGUCCAGAAGUAUACAUGAGAUAUCUAUAAAUUGAAUAGUGAAAACUAUUCUCAUAGGUGAUUGACUUACAAUAUCCAGAUAUCUAAAUUUGGUUCAUAUCUGAAACAUUUUCCAUAACAUCUUCUUAUAUGUGCUACAUCAAAUUGGAUUAUUGGUAAAGUUUCAAAACACUUAGUCUUGAAUUUUGUUCUUAGAAAUUGAAGAUGAGGGAGUUCCCAUCGUGGCUCAGUGGUUAACGAAUCUGACUAAGAACCAUGAGGUUGGGGGUUCGAUCCCUGGCCUUGCUCAGUGGGUUAAGGAUCUGGCGUUGCCGUGAGCUGUGGUGUAGGUUGCAGACGUGGCUCGGAUCCUAUGUUGAUAUGGCUCUGGCGUAGGCCGGUGGCUGCAGCUCCGAUUCGACCCCUAGCCUGGGAACCUCCAUAUGCCAUGAGAGUAGCCCAAGAAAUGAC